rnacentral:rRNA from 1 species
GCCUGCCCGGUGAUAAUUUAAACGGCUGCGGUAUAUUGACUGUGCGAAGGUAGCAUAAUCAUUUGCUUUAUAAUUGAAGGCUGGUAUGAAGGGUUUGACGAAAGCAAUACUGUCUUUAUUGAAUUUUUUAGAAUUUAACUUUUAGGUGAAAAGGCUUAAAUUUAAUUAAUAGACAAGAAGACCCUAUCGAGCUUAAAGAAAUUAAUAGAUGAAAGAUAAUAGCAUAAUUUGUAAUUUAAUUUUAUUAAGGUAUUUUAGUUGGGGUGACUGAGGAACAUUAGAAGCUUCUUUGAGUUGUUUUUUAUUGUGGUUAUAGAUCCAGUGUGAUGUACUGAUUUUUAGAUUUAGUUACCGUAGGGAUAACAGCAUAAUCUUUUUUGAGAGUUCUUAUCGAGAAAAAGGUUUGUGACCUCGAUGUUGGAUUAAAAUUUCCUAAGGGUGUAGAAGCUUA